GAAAAAACCGUUAAACCGACCGGAAAAGCGCGCGAACAGGGAGUCUGACAUGAAGACAAACGUUUUCUGAGAUGGUCCUGUGCACAUGUUUCCCUCCCAUUGGCUCUGGGUCCGACCCUGCUACCGGCACAGCACACUCAGAUCUGCAUAAAAGGACGCUUUCACCCCGUCUGUUCCACCCCGUCUGCACACACACACACACACACCGCUGAGGAGAGACCGGCACAGAGAUGCAUGCGCAGGAGAGGCAGUUUUGACAAUAGGAGCGUCACCUCAGUCUUCCUCCACCAGAGGUCAGUGCUGUUCAACAAUACUGAAGCGUCCGAAAAACCUAGAAAGUCACCUUGAUAGUGAAACACACAAUCUGAUGGUGCUUUCUAUGAUCAGCUACCUUUUUGGGGACUUGGGAUUGGGAUGAAGGAUCUGUCGUUCAAUUUGUUACCUGUCCAAAUCUUUCAUCGGUAGAUUGCCAGACUACGCCUAGAACAAAGAUUAGAGUUGCAUGUUGGGGCAAGGAUGAUGUUCGUCCAGAAGUUUGAUAAUCAAGGCCUUGGUCAUACGUCAAAGAAUUAAGGUUGCUUCGGACGCCCUUGUACCUCGACUGUUGACAGCAAUAUUUGUGUUUGGUGAGUUUAUGUUUAUAUUUCUAUUUGAUGUCACGUUUGCAGCAAAAGCAAACAAAUAAAUUUUGUAUGAUGGACAACCCGUACUCCGCCUGUUGAAGUCGUGCCAGAAAAAUGCCACUGUUGUUUACUCAUCAAAUAUAGACAUCUAUAAAAACCACUUCAAUUAUUUGCCCAAGCAAACACGCUCUUUGCCUUUUAGACAUUAUUGAUUACCUUCAGAGAAUUACAGCGUUUUUCUAAGAGCGAUGAUCAAUUACUUGUCAAGCGAUAAGAGACUGUAUGACAUAGAAACGGUGAAUUAUUGUAAUAUCGCUCUGGAUUUGCUGAUGAAAGUGAUACAGAAGAACAUGUCAAACAUCAGG